rnacentral:rRNA from 1 species
AUGCGAGGCAGCAAGGAGGAGGCGUUCGGGGUCGGGCGUGUGUGCGGAGGCGGCGACCUGGAGAGAUCGAGAGGAGAGAGCAAGAAGAAGACGUGGGAGAGAGGAGAGAUCGAUCGGGGUCGAUCCAGAUCGGACAAGUGGCUGGUGGCGCUAGGGAAGAUGCGAGGAAGAGGAUCGAGGGAGCGAGAGGGGUUUCGACGUGCUAGGGUUAAGAGGCGGCUGGGCCAGGGGAAAAUGGGCCGACGCGGGUGGGUUAGGCCCAAGAGGUCGGCUGGGAUGCAAGGCUGUGCACUCUCUCUCCCUCAUAUCUCUCAUUUCCCUUUAUUUGCCAAAACAGCAAAUAACAAAGAAGGAAAUAAGAGAAAGAAAAAGUUGGAGAAGGACUUUGGGCACGGGGAUUAUUUCCCCGGACUCACCAAAAUGUGCACAGUCUAG